rnacentral:rRNA from 1 species
AUUGAACGCUGGCGGCAGGCCUAACACAUGCAAGUCGAGCGAGCGGCGGACGGGUGAGUAAUGUCUGGGAAACUGCCUGAUGGAGGGGGAUAACUACUGGAAACGGUAACUAAUAACGCAUACCAGCAGAUACGCCCAGAUGGGGUUAGCUAGUGGGGGGUGUAAUGGCUCACCUAGGCGACGAGCCCUAGCUGGUCUGCGAGGAUGACCAACCACACUGGAACUGAGACACGGUCCAGACUCCUACGGGAGUCAGCAGUGGGGAAUAUUGCACAAUGGGCGCAAGCCUGAUGCAGCCAUGCCGCGUGUAUGAAGAAGGCCUUCGGGUUGUAAAGUACUUUCAGCGAGGAGGCGUUACUCGCAGAAGAAGCACCGGCUAACUCCGUGCCAGCAGCCGCGGUAAUUC